CCGCGUCCCGUGCAAGCUGGGAAGGAAACCUGUUGGUAGAGCCUGAAACGUGCCCGGUUGCUUUGGAGGGUGAUCCAGACCAGAUCUGUAGAAAGACUGGUAGUUGAGUUCUCUACGAGGCUUCCUUCGGAAUUGCCCUUUUCUGAGCAGCGGGCGGUGCCCGGCCCGCGGCUCCGAGCUUCCAGUUCCAUCCACGGAUGAGGGGAACUGCCUGUGCUUGGAGAGUAUUGUCCCGUAGAGGAAAUCACAUCUGGUGCAAGCACAGGUCAGACUAUGCUAUUUUUCCAUGCCAGCUUUGGUUAUCUUCAGUUGUCAAGGGAUCACCCUGAGAUCAGAACUUGAGAAGCAUCACCAACUGAACUUUCCAAGCAUCACCAACUGAAUGUUCAUACCACUGUUAUGAUGGAAGAGAGACUUACGAUGGCCCGUGUUGGAGAGAGUCACCCUUGCAGUAUUCUCUGAUACUGCUUCUGGCUGAACAAAGUGGGCAUCACGCUGCGUUAGAAGAAGGCAUUGUGCAAACAAAGUAUCAAAAGAAGCUGGAAAACAGACUUUGUGCAAUCAGACUUAAAUCAAACUGAGACGGAAUGGUAUUUGGUUUAAAUAAUCUUAUACUUUAUUUUAAAACUUAUAAAAACCAAUUAUUAGAACAUAAAAUCUAGUGU